GUUCUUGCUUCGGCAGCACAUAUACUAAAAUUGGAAUGAUACAGAAAAGAUUAGCAUGGCCCCUGCACAAGGAUGACAUACAAAUUCAUGAAGUGUUCCAUAUUUAA